GAAGCCUGACAGGAGGAUACAGUGGUCGCAUCUUCAGAUCAUCAGGACAAAAAAUAUCAUAAAACUUUUUUGCCGAAGAGCUUGGCAAAAUGGUUUUGUUUGCUGCACAACCAAUAAACCACUCUUAAGAAAAGUGCAGUAUCAAAAUGUUUGGAAGAACAGCCAAAUCUUGGUUUUAUAACUGUGCGAAAUCUACCAAAAGAGAAAAUGAAAACAGGAGUAAGUGGCUUUCUGAAAUCCCAAGCAAUCAGAGAGAGAAAAUACUGGAAGAGCUGGAUGUGAAAAAAGUGCUGUCAUAUUUGGUUUACAAGAGAGUCUUUUCCUUGGAGGAAUGCAAAGACAUUUGGUCCCAGGAGAGCUACAGGAAGAGAACUGAAUAUUUUUUAGAUAAACUCUCUCUAAAAGGCCCAGGUGCUUUCUCUGCCUUUUGUUCCAUUUUGGAGGAGGUCAGUCCUAACUUGCUGACAUGCUUUCUCCUUGGCUAUGAAGACUACAUGAAUUUCCCAGUGUUACCAGAGCAAACAAAACUGAGAACUGUUGCAGGGAUGGAGCUUCAUGAAACCUGUCAGAUGAGCAACCAAGAAGGAAGCCUUUCUGCUGAGGAACAACUGAAUCAAUCAUUCAACAAAUACAGGUUAAAAUUAUCACUGUCAUGAUGUCUUUUAUGAUCCCAAUAUAUAUAUUAUUAUUAUUAUUAUUAUUUCUCAUGAUUAAGUUCU